rnacentral:rRNA from 1 species
UACAGAGGGUGCAAGCGUUAAUCGGAUUUACUGGGCGUAAAGCGUGUGUAGGUGGUCAGGAAAGUCGGUUGUGAAAUCCCCGGGCUCAACUCGGGAACUGCUUCCGAUACUUCUUGACUCGAAUUCGGUAGAGGGAGGCGGAACUCCAGGUGUAGCGGUGAAAUGCGUAGAUAUCUGGAAGAACACCAAUGGCGAAGGCAACCUCCUGGGCCUGAAUUGACACUGAGACACGAAAGCGUGGGGAUCAAACAGG